CUUGGUCAUUUAGAGGAAGUAAAAGUCGUAACAAGGUUUCCGUAGGUGAACCUGCGGAAGGAUCAUUACAGUAUUCGUUUGCCAGCGCUUAACUGCGCGGCGAAACACCUUCUACACAGUGUUUUCUUUAUUAGAACUAUUGCCUUGCCUGUAGCUCCGGCUGCGGGCAAAGGAACCAAUAACUUCAAUCUAGUGUUUAAACGUACACUAUUUUACAAAACUUUAGUCAAUUUGUUGAUUUAAUUCAAAACAUAAUCUUCAAAACUUUCAACAACGGAUCUCUUGGUUCUCGCAUCGAUGAAGAACGCAGCGAAAUGCGAUAAGUAAUAUGAAUUGCAGAUUUUCGUGAAUCAUCGAAUCUUUGAACGCACAUUGCGCCCUCCGGUAUUCCGGGGGGCAUGCCUGUUUGAGCGUCAUUUCUCUCUCAAAUCUUUGGAUUUGGUAUUGAGUGAUACUCACAGUCUACUUUGAGUUUGCUUGAAAAGUAUUGGCAAGAGUGGCACUUUUAGUGUCUGCUUUAUUACGGCUGUUUCAAUGUAUUAGGUUUUACCAACUCGUUGAUCCUGCUUAAGCAGAAAUUGAAUUUGUCUACGGCUCGGCCUUACAACACAAACACUAAGUUUGACCUCAAAUCAGGUAGGACUACCCGCUGAACUUAAGCAUAUCAAUAAGCGGAGGAAAAGAAACCAACAGGGAUUACCUUAGUAACGGCGAGUGAAGCGGUAAGAGCUCAAAUUUGAAAUCUGGUACCUUUGGUGCCCGAGUUGUAGUUUGAAGAUGGCUGUCUUGAAUUUGGCCCUUGUCUAUGUUCCUUGGAACAGGACGUCACAGAGGGUGAGAAUCCCGUGCGAUGAGGUGACCAAUUCUAUGUAAGACGCUUUCGAAGAGUCGAGUUGUUUGGGAAU
rnacentral:sRNA from 1 species